rnacentral:pre_miRNA from 1 species
UCACGUGGAUGAGUGAAGAAAGUGGUUUCUUGAGACGGAAUGUACUUUUGGUGAAGAUCCUAUGAA